rnacentral:rRNA from 1 species
AGUGAACGCUGGCGGUAGGCCUAACACAUGCAAGUCGAACGGCAGCACAGUAAGAGCUUGCUCUUACGGGUGGCGAGUGGCGGACGGGUGAGGAAUACAUCGGAAUCUACUUUUUCGUGGGGGAUAACGUAGGGAAACUUACGCUAAUACCGCAUACGACCUACGGGUGAAAGCAGGGGAUCUCCGGACCUUGCGCGAUUGAAUGAGCCGAUGUCGGAUUAGCUAGUUGGCGGGGUAAAGGCCCACCAAGGCGACGAUCCGUAGCUGGUCUGAGAGGAUGAUCAGCCACACUGGAACUGAGACACGGUCCAGACUCCUACGGGAGGCAGCAGUGGGGAAUAUUGGACAAUGGGCGCAAGCCUGAUCCAGCCAUACCGCGUGGGUGAAGAAGGCCUUCGGGUUGUAAAGCCCUUUUGUUGGGAAAGAAAAGCAGCAGGUUAAUACCCCGCUGUUCUGACGGUACCCAAAGAAUAAGCACCGGCUAACUUCGU